CAAUAGCGUAUAUUAAAGUUGUUGCGGUAAAAAAGCUCGUAGUUGGAUUUCUGUUGAGAGCGACCGGUCCAUACCAUGUAUGCGUAUCUGGCUUGCUCUCGGCAUCCUCUCGAUAGACGUUACUGCGCUUGAUUGCGUGGUGCGGAUCUCGGGACUUUUACUUUGAGGAAAUUAGAGUGUUCACGGCAGGCUUUCGCCAGAAUACAUUAGCAUGGAAUAAUACUAUAGGAUCUUGGUUCUAUUUUGUUGGUUUCUAGAAUUGAGAUAAUGAUUAAUAGGGACAAUUGGGGGCAUUCGUAUCAACACGUCAGAGGUGGAAUUCUUGGAUUGUGUUGCGACGAACUACUGCGGAAGCAUUUGCCAAGGAUGUUUUCAUUGA
rnacentral:rRNA from 1 species